rnacentral:rRNA from 1 species
AGAACGACUCUCGGCAACGGAUAUCUCGGCUCUCGCAUCGAUGAAGAACGUAGCGAAAUGCGAUACUUGGUGUGAAUUGCAGAAUCCCGUGAACCAUCGAACGCAAGUUGCGCCCGAAGCCAUUAGGCCGAGGGCACGCCUGCCUGGGCGUCUCAC